rnacentral:rRNA from 1 species
GUGCCGGGUAGCUACGUUCGGAAGGGAUAACCGCUGAAGGCAUCUAAGCGGGAAGCCCGCCUCAAGAUAAACCAUCCCUGGGGGUAUAACCCCCCUAAAGGUACCAGGAAGACUACCUGGUUGAUAGGUCGGAGGUCUAAGUAUGGUAACAUAUUCAGCCGACCGAUACUAAUCUGCCGUGAGGCUUGACCAU